AGCGAACGCUGGCGGCAGGCCUAACACAUGCAAGUCGAACGAAGCCUUCGGGCUUAGUGGCGGACGGGUGAGUAACACGUGGGAACGUACCUUUUGGUUCGGAACAACUCAGGGAAACUUGAGCUAAUACCGGAUGAGCCCUUAGGGGGAAAGAUUUAUCGCCGAAAGAGCGGCCCGCGUUAGAUUAGCUAGUUGGUGAGGUAAAGGCUCACCAAGGCUACGAUCUAUAGCUGGUCUGAGAGGAUGAUCAGCCACACUGGGACUGAGACACGGCCCAGACUCCUACGGGAGGCAGCAGUUGCGAGUCUUGCGCAAUGGGCGAAAGCCUGACGCAGCCAUGCCGCGUGAAUGAUGAAGGUAUUAGGAUUGUAAAAUUCUUUUACCAGGGACGAUAAUGACGGUACCUGGGGAGAAAGCCCCGGCUAACUUCGUGCCAGCCGCCGCGGUAAGAC
rnacentral:rRNA from 1 species